rnacentral:lncRNA from 12 species
AUGUUUUCUCGUUCCCUUGUUCUAUCUAUUCAUCGUUUUUAUGUUUUCUCGUUCUCUCGUCCUAUCUCUUCUUUCUUUUUAUGUUUUCUUGUUGCCUCGCUCUUUUUUCUUUCAUUCUUUAUUUUUUCGUUCCCUCGUUCUUUCUAUUAUUUCAUUUUUACUUUCUCAUUACCUCGUUCUUCUAUUCUUUCAUUUUCUUAUUUCUUCUUCCCUCGUUCUUUCUAUUCUUUUAUUUGUUUUCUCGUUCCCUUGUUCUUUCUAUUUUUCAUUUUCUAUUUUCUCAUUCUGUCAUUUUUUCUAUUCCUCUUUUUUCUAUUUCUCGUUCCCUCGUUCUUUCUAUUUAUCUUUUUUAUGUUUUCGCGUUCCCUCGUUCUUUCUAUCCCUUUUUUUUUUGCAUUCUCGUUCCUUUGUUCUUUCUAUUCCUCAUUUUUAGGUUUUCUCGUUCCCUCGUUCUUUCUGUUUUUUCAUUUUCUAUUUUCUCAUUCCGUCAUUCUUUCUAAUAAUUCAUUUUCUGCUUUGGCAUUCGGUUUUCUCGUUCCCUCGUCCUUUCUGUUUUUUCAUUUUCUAUUUUCUCAUUCCGUCAUUCUUUCUAAUAAUUCAUUUUCUGCUUUGGCAUUCCCUCGUUUUUUCUAUUCUUUCUUUUUCUAUUUUCUCGUUCCCUCGUUCUUUCUAUUCCUCCUUUUGAUGUUUUCUCCUUCCCUCGUUCUUUCUAUUCAUUUAUUUUCCAUGUUCUUGUUCCACCUUUCUUUCUAUUCCUUUUUUCCAUGUUUUCUCGUUCCCUCGUUUUUUUCUAUUCCUUCUUUUUUAGUUUCCUCAUUCCCUUUUUCUUUUUUUCUCUUUUUUAUAUUUUCUUGUUCCUUCGUUGUUUCUAUUUUAUCAUUUUCUAUUUUCUCGUUCCCUUCUCCUUUCUAUUCCUUCUUUUUCUAUUUUCUCGUUCCCUCGUUCUUUCUAUUCCUCCUUUUGAUGUUUUCUCCUUCCCUCGUUCUUUCUAUUCAUUUAUUUUCCAUGUUCUUGUUCCACCUUUCUUUCUAUUCCUUUUUUCCAUGUUUUCUCGUUCCCUCGUUUUUUUCUAUUCCUUCUUUUUUAGUUUCCUCAUUCCCUUUUUCUUUUUUUCUCUUUUUUAUAUUUUCUUGUUCCUUCGUUGUUUCUAUUUUAUCAUUUUCUAUUUUCUCGUUCCCUUCUCCUUUCUAUUCCUUCUUUUUCUAUUUUCUCGUUCCCUCGUUCUUUCUAUUCCUCCUUUUGAUGUUUUCUCCUUCCCUCGUUCUUUCUAUUCAUUUAUUUUCCAUGUUCUUGUUCCACCUUUCUUUCUAUUCCUUUUUUCCAUGUUUUCUCGUUCCCUCGUUUUUUUCUAUUCCUUCUUUUUUAGUUUCCUCAUUCCCUUUUUCUUUUUUUCUCUUUUUUAUAUUUUCUUGUUCCUUCGUUGUUUCUAUUUUAUCAUUUUCUAUUUUCUCGUUCCCUUCUCCUUUCUAUUCCUUCUUUUUCUAUUUUCUCGUUCCCUCGUUCUUUCUAUUCUUUCAUUUUUUAUUUUCUCGUUCCAUUGCUCUUUCUAUUCCUCCUUUUUCUUUUUCCUCGUUCCCUUGUUCUUUCUAUUUUUCCUUUUCAUGUUUUCUCGUUCCCUUUUUUCUAUUCCUCCUUUUUUGAUUUUCUCGUUCCCUCGUUCUUUCUAUUCCACCUUUUUCUAUUUUCUCGUUCCCUCAUUCUUUAUAUUCUUUCAUUUUCCAUUUUCUCGUUCCCUCGUUCUUUCUAUUCUUUUUUUUAAUGUUUUCUCGUUCCAUCGUUCUUUCUAUUCUUUCUUUUUUGUUUUCUUCUUGUUCCCUUGUUCUUUCUACAAGCCAGAUCAACUUUGUGCCAAGAUGCUGGAUGGUAAUGGAAGAAUAAUAUCCUCAGGGCACUGAAACUUGCCAGAUUUUGCUACAAAUCUAAAGCUAAAUCUCUGACUUUCCAGAGGUACCUGCAUUUUUUCCACUGAUGUCUGAUGGACUGACAUACUCUAUUUGAAAGACAGCAAAGCAGGUUUUCCAUAUUGGCCCAGGAUGGAGAAUUCCAAGGAUUUUCCACUCAGCCAUGGGUAUGUCAGACGGGCUUAGUUGGAUGCAAUAAAAAUACAGAACUUCUCAAGAUGGAAAAUGUUACACUAAUUCUUUAAAAGAAUAGGGCAGGAAUAUAUGACAUGGGGAAUUGAACAGAACACUGCUCUUCAUGCCUUUUAAGCCUAACACACCACUCUUGAAAAGGAGGGUGUCAGGGUUUGAGAAGAUAACUAGUAAUCCCUAUCUUUUAGAAUGGACCAGAAGUCCUAAUAAAC